rnacentral:lncRNA from 1 species
UGCUCUUAGAGCUGAGAAAUAUUAUUUUUUGUCCGUAGAUCAUAAUAAAUGGCUAGAGUUAACAAAAGCAAGGUUGUAGAAGUUGAUAGGUCUAAGAAAAGAAAAAAAUGAGUAGUCUAUGAAUCGGAGAAUAGAAAUUGCAUUGAGGAAGCUGUUGAAGCUUCAAUUCGAGAUGAGCCGGAGGAAAUAGAAAUUGAGGCUAGGAUAGAUGAG